rnacentral:rRNA from 1 species
UGGGGAAUCUUCCGCAAUGGACGAAAGUCUGACGGAGCAACGCCGCGUGAGUGAAGACGGCCUUCGGGUUGUAAAGCUCUGUGAUUCGGGACGAAAGGCCAUAUGUGAAUAAUAUAUGGAAAUGACGGUACCGAAAAAGCAAGCCACGGCUAACUACGUGCCAGCAGCCGCGGUAAUACGUAGGUGGCAAGCGUUGUCCGGAAUUAUUGGGCGUAAAGCGCGCGCAGGCGGUCACUUAAGUCCAUCUUAGAAGUGCGGGGCUUAACCCCGUGAUGGGAUGGAAACUGGGAGACUGGAGUAUCGGAGAGGAAAGUGGAAUUCCUAGUUUAGCGGUGAAAUGCGUAGAUAUUAGGAAGAACACCGGUGGCGAAGGCGACUUUCUGGACGAAAACUGACGCUGAGGCGCGAAAGCGUGGGGAGCAAACAGG